UAUUUAUUUGGAAAAUAAAUAAUACGGAAUUCAUCGAGAAUCGAAUAAUUAAAGGAUUAGUGGACUAAAUUGGACGAAAGAAAAGUUAGAAAGUGAAGGUUAAGGAGGUGGCAACUUCAAGGACCUAAGUGGACCUUUAACCCACUUAUUAUCAUCAAUUAUGAAUGAUUAUUCAUUCAUUCAAAGCAAAAUUUGCAGCAAAGGAAGGGAAGAACCCGUAACUCCCUUACCCCAAAAUCAACAAAUCUUUUAAACCCCAUAACUUUCUCAAUUUUGAUCCGAAUUUAGCGAUUCUCGCGGCCACGGAACGAGGAAACGAUUAUCUACAGAUCUAUGGCUUCAGUUUGAGGUGUUUAUUAGCUUCCAUGGACCAAUUUUGAUGAUGAAUCUUGGAGCUAGACUCUUUGGAUUUGAGGCUUCAAUCAAGAUCGGACGAGCGACUAUCAAAAAAGGUUUGAGGCAAACGGAUCGAGAUAUCGUCAUAAUUAUUUGAAGAAUUUGGAUAGCAAGUGGGAUAGUAUGAUAUGAUUUGAAGAGUCAAGCUUCCGAAGUUUUAAUUCUCGGAAGUCAUUUGCACGUGAAGUAAAAGAAGGUUUUCAUUCUAGCGGUCCGCAGUAGUCUAGAUGUUUUUGUCUAUGUAUUUGUAUAACGCAUCUUAACUCUGAUGUUUUUGUAAAAUGGGGUCACAUGUAUUUUGAUAUAUGAAACAUGAUUUGAUUUGCGAAAAAUUUGCACAGGUUUUUAGGCUUGCUACGGGUUUCGGAGCUACCACUCCCAUUCCCUAGCGCCGGUCGCGACUCAUAAAUUUGGGUCGUGACAAAGGUGGUAUCAGAGCAAUGGUUUAGUGUUCCUAGGCCAUUGUUCUUUUGUGAUUGGAGUAUAGGAAAGAGUCAGUUACUUCCUAGGAACUACUGCGGAUUAUAGAGAUUUCCAGUCAUGUCUUUUGAACGUUAUCAUCUUUUUCAUCGAUUUUUCAAACGUUUUACGAAGACGUCCCCUUCUAUAUGUGCUAUUAGGAGUCGAGUUAGAUGUGUGUGCGAGCACAAUAUAUGUUUGUGUUUACUCGAGUAAGCAAUACGCUUUCAAGUAUCUAUAGUCUGCGAAGAGUUAUAUACUCUCGAGACUCAUAUGAUGUAUGAAUAUCGUUAUGGACAGUGAUUGAAUUAUAAAUUGGUUGGAUUGGAUAUUAUACGAGUGAUGUGAUGUAACAAAUAAGAUAUGUAUGUUUGCAGCGCGAUCACUCAGGAGAGUGAUAUGCUCACAGGUAUGUAAGCCUGUGAUAAUUUAUACGAUACAUGAAAUUUAUAUAUUGUAAUCGAUUGUUAUGAAUAGAAAUAGUUUCUUAUGA